AGGGAAGAUAUUCACUGCCAUUUGGUCUGUAACUGUCUAGGGUUAUAAGGCUAACCAUCACAAUCUUCUAAUUAAAUUAUACAAAUCUACUGGAAGAACCAUUUACAUAAAAAUAAAUUAAUUUCAUGGAUGCUUAUCAGAAAUCAUUGUGCACCAGCCAGAUUUAUAGGCAGUGAGUGCCAACGAAAGUGCUCAUUUUAGCUGAUCAUUAUCCAAUAAUAAUAAAAUGGUAAAAAGAAAUAUGAAUACAAACAGAAUUGUCACAAACAACUGAUCAAUUUAAUUUGAUUUUUAUUUAUUGCAAUAAAGAUGUACAAAGUAUUGGUAACCGUAAAUGUUAAAAUGUUAGAAAAAAGCAUAUCUGUGACAGGUAACAGUUACAGUAUAUCAAAACAUUACCGUUUCAACCAGCUAGGCAGAUCUGACCAGCCUCGGAGGGAGGAGUGGGGAGGAGGGGGGGGGCAGCCUCGGAAGGAGGGAGUGGGGAAGAGAGGAGGGAGGGGACACUUUGAACCGGUUGUCAACACAGCUUUUUUCAAAGGCAUAUAUAAAAGAUAGAAAUGUACAGAAAGACAGAAAAGGAAAUUAAAGACAAAAUUUUUUUUUGAAAGAGAUCAAAACAUAAAAUCAACAUGCAAUUUAACUUAAUAAAACCAAAAUAAAACAAAAACAAAAAAAAAA